rnacentral:rRNA from 1 species
UACGGGGGGGCAAGCGUUGUUCGGAAUUACUGGGCGUAAAGGGCUCGUAGGCGGCCAACUAAGUCAGACGUGAAAUCCCUCGGCUUAACCGGGAACUGCGUCUGAUACUGGAUGGCUUGAGUUUGGGAGAGGGAUGCGGAAUUCCAGGUGUAGCGGUGAAAUGCGUAGAUAUCUGGAGGAACACCGGUGGCGAAGGCGGCAUCCUGGACCAACACUGACGCUGAGGAGCGAAAGCCAGGGGAGCAAAGCA